rnacentral:SRP_RNA from 1 species
CCCGGUAACGUGGGCUUGUAACCCAGGUGGGAGCAACAAGGUGAUGGGACGUAGCACCAGCCCAAAUGGUUGGAUUCGGUGUGGCUGAUUUCUGGCCUGCCCGUUCCAAGCCGGUAGUUGAGCUAAGUGAUUCAAGCGAAAGCCUGGGUCACAUAGUUCAUAGAGAAGAGGGUACCGCGUGAGGCUGGCUUCACAGAGCAGCGAUCACCUCUCGCUUCCGACAGUGGAAGGAUAACAAGCCGGUUGUCGCCCGAGACCACAUGAUCAGAUGGGCUGUUCUAACUGGAC